CAGCCGCCGCGGUAAUACGUAGGGUGCAAGCGUUAAUCGGAAUUACUGGGCGUAAAGCGUGCGCAGGCGGUUUGUUAAGACAGAUGUGAAAUCCCCGGGCUCAACCUGGGAACUGCAUUUGUGACUGGCAAGCUAGAGUCUGGCAGAGGGGGGUGGAAUUCCGCGUGUAGCAGUGAAAUGCGUAGAUAUGCGGAGGAACACCGAUGGCGAAGGCAGCCCCCUGGGCCAACACUGACGCUCAUGCACGAAAGCGUGGGGAGCAAACAGGAUUAGAUACCCGUGUAGUCCCUGUCUCUUAUAC
rnacentral:rRNA from 1 species